UAGCCUUGACAUACCAAGAACUUAAUAGAGAUAUAAAGGUGCUAGUUUACUAGAGCUUGGAUACAGGUGCUGCACGGCUGUCGUCAGCUCGUGUCGUGAGAUGUUAGGUUAAGUCCUGCAACGAGCGCAACCCUCGUCGUUAGUUGCUAACAGUUCGGCUGAGAACUCUAACGAGACUGCCUACGCAAGUAGGAGGAAGGUGAGGACGACGUCAAGUCAUCAUGGCCCUUACGACCAGGGCUACACACGUGCUACAAUGGGGUAUACAAAGAGCAGCAAUACGGUGACGUGGAGCGAAUCUCAAAAAUGCCUCCCAGUUCGGAUUGUAGUCUGCAACUCGACUACAUGAAGUUGGAAUCGCUAGUAAUCGUAGAUCAGCUAUGCUACGGUGAAUACGUUCCCGGGUCU
rnacentral:rRNA from 1 species